AGAUGAUGAUGAUAUAUAUGCAUGACACCGAAUAAAGAGAGGAAAAAACAAUUCAGUUUGUUCACAAUUUGGCAUUUAAAAGCACCAAAAUGUCCAUAGGUUGGAUUUUCUUUCUUUUCUCUCUUCUUCUACUUUCUUUUAUUUCAAAAACCCUUCCACAAUCCACCCCAACCCCCCUUUCUUAGCUUGUGCAGAUGAGAUUUCAGUGUGGUGUUGUUGCCGUUAGAUUAAUGGGUUUUUUGAGUAGAUAUUAUUUCUGAGUAUUUGUAGAAAACCAAGUGAAAUUAAGAAUAAAAUUAAGAGGAAGAAGGUGAGGUUUUGGUUAAAGAUGGCGACUGCAUCUUCUUCAUCAGGGCCUUUCUUUGGAAUUAGAGAAGAGAAUCAAAGCCAGACGAAACAACAACUACAACAACAUCAUACGCCAACUUCAUCAACUGGCCCAGUUGAUCCAUCGCCGCCUCCCAAGAAAAAGAGAAACCAACCUGGAACUCCAAAUCCAGAUGCAGAAGUGGUAGCACUAUCUCCCAAGACAUUAAUGGCUACAAACAGGUUCAUAUGCGAGGUAUGCAACAAAGGGUUCCAAAGGGAGCAAAAUUUACAGCUUCAUAGAAGGGGACACAACUUGCCAUGGAAGCUAAAGCAGAAGACAACAAAAGAAGUGAAGAAGAAGGUGUAUCUAUGCCCGGAGCCCACAUGCGUCCACCAUGACCCGUCGAGGGCACUUGGGGACCUUACGGGCAUCAAAAAGCAUUACUCGAGAAAACAUGGUGAGAAGAAAUGGAAGUGCGAGAAGUGUUCCAAGAGGUACGCCGUGCAAUCUGAUUGGAAAGCUCAUUCUAAGACCUGUGGCACCAGAGAGUACAGAUGUGACUGUGGCACCCUCUUCUCAAGACGUGACAGCUUUAUCACUCACAGAGCAUUUUGUGAUGCACUGGCUCAAGAAACUGCAAGGCACCCUCCUCCUUUAAACUCCAUUGGCACCCAUUUGUACGGAACUAGCAAUUAUAUGGGCUUAGGGUUAUCUCAAGUUGGAACCCAAAUUUCAUCCAUUCAAGACCCGAAUAAUAAUCAAACUGCAGCUGACAUCCUCAAACUUGGUGGUGGUGGUGGUGGUGGGCCUUCAAGGAGUUCCCAAUUUGAUCAUCUUCUUCCUCCAUCAAUGGGUUCUUCUUCAUCAUCAUCGUUUCGACCUCAACAACAGGCCAUGGGUUUCGUCAUGGAAGAAUCUAAUCAGAUUUUCAACCAAGAACAUCAAUCCCAGCAUGGGUUGUUGGGAAACAGCAAACCGUUCCAAGGAUUAAUGCAGUUUCCUCCCGACAACAACAACAACAACAACAACAACGCCGCAAGCAACGCUUCUUCGGCUGCCAAUCUCUUCAACCUUAGCUUCCUUUCCAAGAGUGGCAACAAUGGCGGUGCUGGCGAUUAUAAUUUAACAUCUUCGGGUUUGCUCAUGUCUGAUAAUUUCAACAAUGAAAACGGCGGCAAUGGUGGAACCAACAACGCCUCCAACCUCUUCUCCAACAACUUAAUGAGUGAUCAAAUGACUUCCAACAUCCCUUCUCUCUUUAGCUCAUCGGUUCAAAACAAUAACAUGGUGCCCCAAAUGUCAGCCACCGCAUUGCUUCAAAAGGCUGCUCAAAUGGGCUCUACUUCAAGAAACAAAAACACCAACGACGAUUCCCUUCUAAGAACCUUUGCAAACUCUUCUUCAACCGGAACCAAAACCUCCAACUUCGGCGCCAUUUUCGGAGAUACGGCUGGCAGCAAUCUACAUGAACUAAUGAACUCCAUUGCCAGUGGAAAUUCCCCCAUUUUCGGAAGCGGCUAUGACGCUGUACAUGGUCAAGAAAGCCCUUACACAAAUAGAAGUAGCAUGGGACAAGAACAACCACCGCCGCCACCGCCGCAAAGUAUGAAUGUUAGCGGAGGCGGGUCGGAUAGAUUGACUCGGGACUUCCUUGGGGUUGGGCAUAUAGUUAGAAACAUGAGCGGAGGAGCGGCACAACAACGACAAGGAAUUGGGAUAAGCAGGCUGAGUUCAGAGAGAAAUAGUAACAUAACGGCGCCGACAAGCCAGCAAUCUUUCGGAGAACGUGGGAAUUUCCAGUGACGAAAGAAAUCCCAAAAAGAGUAAAAAGAGAAAAGAUAUGAAGAAAGUACAAAGAUAUUGAUGGAUGGCAAGGUGGGUCAAGUACAAGUCCAUGGAGAAAAGGGGAGUUGAGUUUUGGAAAGCUAAUCAAAAAUCAACAAAAAUGCAGCUAAUGAUAUCAACCUCUCUCUUAUAGAUUUGUACCAAAACCUGCUUCCUUUUUUUUCUCUUCAACUGUUAAUCAAGCAACCAUCUUUUUUCAUAGUCACUUUUUAGCCCCUCAAACAAACAUAACUUUCUCUUGUUUCCUUUUUUAUUUUAUUUUAUUUUAUUUUAUUAUUAUAGUAA